UUAAUAUAUUCAUUAAAAAAGAAAAGUAAAACACAUAAAAUCGAAAAAUUAGGGUUAGGACAACCCUAUUUCCCUCCUCCCUAUUUUCUUCUUGUCUGAGCUAAUUAGUUCAACACUGUAAAAACCUUGUAAGAGAAAUGGUGAAGAAACUCUCUUUUCCGUCAGUUUCUUGAUGAAAAAAUUGUAUUAUCCGAGCUAAGUUUCAUUUUUGAGAGUGUUGUAUUGAUGAAAUCAUUAUAGGGUGUUUUUUGAGCUAAUUUUUAUCUCCGACUUUACUUUCAUCUCUGGCUGCCGUUUAUAUGAUUUUUCAGUGAAAGGUCUCUAUUUCUACUAGGUCUUCUUCUCAAGUAGGUCCAGGUUUUUGCCGUUGCUGCAGUCAUACAAGAAUCUGGAUUUCUAGCCUCUGCAGUAGUUUACAUUAUAUGCUGGAUUUAUAUGGUUGAAAACUGUUGCUUCAAUAAUUUGAUAUCUUGAUACUACACCUCUGCCUCCUAUGCCUUGGUCACCAGGAAA